CCUACGGGUGGCAGCAGUCGAGAAUUAUUCACAAUGGGGGAAACCCUGAUGGUGCGACGCCGCGUGGGGGAAUGAAGGUCUUCGGAUUGUAAACCCCUAUCAUGUGGGAGCAAAUUAAAAAGAUAGUACCACAAGAGGAAGAGACGGCUAACUCUGUGCCAGCAGCCGCGGUAAUACAGAGGUCUCAAGCGUUGUUCGGAAUCACUGGGCGUAAAGCGUGCGUAGGCUGUUGCGUAAGUCGUGUGUGAAAGGCGCGGGCUCAACCCGCGGACGGCACAUGAUACUGCGAGACUAGAGUAAGGGAGGGGGAACCGGAAUGCUCGGUGUAGCAGUGAAAUGCGUAGAUAUCGAGAGGAACACUCGUGGCGAAGGCGGGUUCCUGGACAUUAACUGACGCUGAGGCACGAAGGCCAGGGGAGCGAAAGGGAUUAGAUACCCCUGUAGUC
rnacentral:rRNA from 1 species